rnacentral:misc_RNA from 1 species
UCCUCGUUCACCGAGGCAGUCCCCUCAGAGUGCCCAGCUAGAACUGCUGGCAACAGAGGGCAAGGGUUGCGCUCGUUGCGGGACUUAACCCAACACCUCACGGCACGAGCUGACGACAGCCAUGCAGCACCUGUGCGGGCUCCCGAAGGAGCGCCGUGUUUCCACGGCUUCACCCCGCAUGUCAAGCCCUGGUAAGGUUCUUCGCGUUGCAUCGAAUUAAUCCACAUGCUCCGCCGCUUGUGCGGGCCCCCGUCAAUUCCUUUGAGUUUCAGCCUUGCGGCCGUACUCCCCAGGCGGGGCACUUAAUGCGUUAGCUCCGACACCGAAUGCGUCUAUACACCCGGCAUCUAGUGCCCAUCGUUUACGGCGUGGACUAC